GACGAACGCUGGCGGCGUGCUUAACACAUGCAAGUCGAACGGAAAGGCCCUGCUUUUGUGGGGUGCUCGAGUGGCGAACGCGUGAGUAACACGUGAGUAACCUGCCCUUGACUUUGGGAUAACUUCAGGAAACUGGGGCUAAUACCGGAUAGGAGCUCUUGCUGCAUGGGGGGGGUUGGAAAGUUUCGGCGGUUGGGGAUGGACUCGCGGCUUAUCAGCUUGUUGGUGGGGUAGUGGCUUACCAAGGCUUUGACGGGUAGCCGGCCUGAGAGGGUGACCGGCCACACUGGGACUGAGAUACGGCCCAGACUCCUACGGGAGGCAGCAGUGGGGAAUAUUGCACAAUGGGCGGAAGCCUGAUGCAGCAACGCCGCGUGCGGGAUGACGGCCUUCGGGUUGUAAACCGCUUUCGCCUGUGACGAAGCGUGAGUGACGGUAAUGGGUAAAGAAGCACCGGCUAACUACGUG
rnacentral:rRNA from 1 species